UAGGAAUUUUCCCNAANNAGNGAAAGCUGNUGGAGCGACCNCAGCGUGCACGAUGAAGGCCCUCGGGUUGUAAAGUGCUGUUGCAAGGGAAGAACAGUUAGUUGAGGAAAUGCUUCUAAUCUGACGGUACCUUGUUAGAAAGCGGUGGCUAACUAUGUGCCAGCAGCCGCGGUAAUACAUAGGUCGCAAGCGUUAUCCGGAAUUAUUGGGCGUAAAGCGUUCGUAGGCUGUUUAUUAAGUCUGGAGUCAAAUCCCAGGGCUCAACCCUGGCUCGCUUUGGAUACUGGUAAACUAGAGUUAGAUAGAGGUAAGCGGAAUUCCAUGUGGAGCGGUGAAAUGCGUAGAUAUAUGGAAGAACACCAACGGCGAAGGCAGCUUACUGGGUCUAUACAGACGCUGAGGGACGAAAGCGUGGGGAGCAAACAGGAUUAGAUACCCUGGUAGUCCACGCUGUAAACGAUGAUCAUUAGUCGGUGGAAAACUACUGACGCAGCUAACGCAUUAAAUGAUCCGCCUGAGUAGUAUGCUCGCAAGAGUG
rnacentral:rRNA from 1 species